rnacentral:rRNA from 1 species
AUGUAUACUGAUGGUAGCAAGAGUAACAAUACAGUCUAUAAUGAUAUGUCAACAGAAGGGAAAUCCAUAAGGCUUGAUCAACCAUUAACAAGCAAUCCUAAUGUGGGAGGUUUUGGUCAGGGGGACGCAGAAAUCGUGCUUCAGGAUCCAUUACGUGUCCAAGGCCUUUUGUUCUUCUUCGCAUCCAUUAUUUUGGCACUUUUGUUGGUUCUCAAAAAGAAACAGUUUGAAAAGGUUCAAUUACAAAAUGAAUUUCUAGGUCCCGGGAUUUCUUACCAUCAAGUUGGUAAAAAGCCUCGAUUUAUUGGCAAUUGCUAUAAUUAUCUAUGA